GGGGAAUCUUGCGCAAUGGGCGAAAGCCUGACGCAGCCAUGCCGCGUGAAUGAUGAAGGUCUUAGGAUUGUAAAAUUCUUUCACCGGGGACGAUAAUGACGGUACCCGGAGAAAAAGCCCCGGCUAACUUCGUGCCAACAGCCGCGGUAAUACGAAGGGGGCUAGCGUUGCUCGGAAUUACUGGGCGUAAAGGGCGCGUAGGCGGAUCGUUAAGUCAGAGGUGAAAUCCCGGAGCUCAACUUCGGAACUGCCUUUGAUACUGGCGAUCUUGAGUGUGAGAGAGGUAUGUGGAACUCCGAGUGUAGAGGUGAAAUUCGUAGAUAUUCGGAAGAACACCAGUGGCGAAGGCGACAUACUGGCUCAUGACUGACGCUGAGGCGCGAAAGCGUGGGGAGCAAAC
rnacentral:rRNA from 1 species